GAUGAAGAACGUAGCGAAAUGCGAUAAGUAAUGUGAAUUGCAGAAUUCAGUGAAUCAUCGAAUCUUUGAACGCACAUUGCGCCCGCCAGUAUUCUGGCGGGCAUGCCUGUUCGAGCGUCAUUACAACCCUCAGGCCCCCGGGCCUGGCGUUGGGGAUCGGCGGAGCCCCCCGUGGGCACACGCCGUCCCCCAAAUACAGUGGCGGUCCCGCCGCAGCUUCCAUCGCGUAGUAGCUAACACCUCGCGACUGGAGAGCGGCGCGGCCACGCCGUAAAACACCCAACACUUCUGAAGUUGACCUCGAAUCAGGUAGGAAUACCCGCUGAACUUAAGCAUACAAUAAGCGGAGGA
rnacentral:misc_RNA from 1 species